rnacentral:rRNA from 1 species
GACGUAGGGUGCAAGCGUUGUCCGGAAUUAUUGGGCGUAAAGAGUUCGUAGGCGGUUACUUAAGUCUGGUGUUAAAGCCCGAUGCUCAACGUCGGCAUGGCAUUGGAAACUGGGUAGCUAGAGUGUGUCAGAGGUUACGGGAAUUCCUGGUGUAGCGGUGAAAUGCGUAGAUAUCGGGAGGAACACCUGUGGCGAAAGCGGCUCACUGGACCACAACUGACGCUGAGGCGCGAAAGCUAGGGGAGCAAACAGG